rnacentral:ncRNA from 1 species
UUAGUGGGUAGUUUUNCUGGGCAUAAUAGUAUGGAUUAACAUUUGUGAUNUUUCAGAGNUGGGAUCCUGAGGUCUCUCCAGUCCACUGAGGGCACACCACUGGCCAGUCUCAUCUGCCAUACAGGGAAGGUGGAACAUGAGCAUAUACACUAGGACCAGAAAGAUAGUAAACUAUGCUUGGGCAGGGUGAUACCAGAGGAAACUCUAGUGGGUAUCUGUAGUAGUCCUGAUGUUCAUGCAACCUUAUACCCAUCUGACCUGUGUACAAGGUUGAAAGACUAAUCAANCCAUGUAUUAGCUGG